AUGAGUCACGGCGGCGCUGGAGGUUGGGGAUUGCUUCCUGCGGCGGCUCAUGGUGGCACCUUGGAGGGAAAGACGCGAAGCCUGCUGGGGUGGCGAUUGGCAAUCGCGACGACGAGUUGGCAUAGUCACGAGGCGGCGCGAGGGAGGAGGCGGGAUGCACAACGGCGGUGGUUAGUGGAGGAAGAAGGUCGUGCUGCUCGGGAGUGGAUAAGAUUUUCCUUUUUUUUAGUGGAGAGAUGGACCGAGCAUGUGAGGUCGCUGUCCAUUGUUGCGCAGCGCGGCCGCUCGGUCUCGCGAAAUAGUGCGCGUGCACUCUUAAGAUUUUAG
rnacentral:rRNA from 1 species